UACGUAGGGUGCAAGCGUUGUCCGGAAUUAUUGGGCGUAAAGCGCGUGUAGGCGGCCAGAUAGGUCUGCUGUGAAAACUCGAGGCUCAACCUCGAGCUGUCGGCGGAAACCAUCUGGCUAGAGUCCGGAAGAGGAGAGUGGAAUUCCUGGUGUAGCGGUGAAAUGCGCAGAUAUCAGGAGGAACACCGGUGGCGAAGGCGGAUCUCUGGGCCAUUACUGACGCUGAGGAGCGAAAGCGUGGGGAGCGAACAGG
rnacentral:rRNA from 1 species